rnacentral:rRNA from 1 species
AUUGAACGCUGGCGGCAUGCUUUACACAUGCCAGUCGAACGGUAACAGGCCGCAAGGUGCUGACGAGUGGCGAACGGGUGAGUAAUGCAUCGGAACGUGCCCAGUCGUGGGGGAUAACUACUCGAAAGAGUAGCUAAUACCGCAUACGAUCUAUGGAUGAAAGCGGGGGACCGUAAGGCCUCGCGCGAUUGGAGCGGCCGAUGUCGGAUUAGGUAGUUGGUGGGGUAAAGGCUCACCAAGCCAACGAUCUGUAGCUGGUCUGAGAGGACGACCAGCCACACUGGGACUGAGACACGGCCCAGACUCCUACGGGAGGCAGCAGUGGGGAAUUUUGGACAAUGGGCGCAAGCCUGAUCCAGCAAUGCCGCGUGCAGGAAGAAGGCCUUCGGGUUGUAAACUGCUUUUGUACGGAACGAAACGGCUCUGGUUAAUACCCGGGGCUAAUGACGGUACCGUAAGAAUAAGCACCGGCUAACUACGUG